UAAGGAAUAUUGGUCAAUGGACGCAAGUCUGAACCAGCCAUGCCGCGUGCAGGAUGAAGGCCCUCUGGGUUGUAAACUGCUUUUAUAGGGGACGAAAAAAGGGCUUUCUAGCUCGUCUGACGGUACCCUAGGAAUAAGCACCGGCUAACUCCGUGCCAGCAGCCGCGGUAAUACGGAGGGUGCAAGCGUUAUCCGGAUUUACUGGGUUUAAAGGGUGCGUAGGUGGGUCGGUAAGUCAGCGGUGAAAUCUUCGAGCUUAACUCGGAAACUGCCAUUGAUACUAUCGAUCUUGAAUCAUCUAGAGGUAAGCGGAAUAUGUCAUGUAGCGGUGAAAUGCUUAGAUAUGACAUAGAACACCAAUUGCGAAGGCAGCUUACUAUGGAUGUAUUGACACUGAGGCACGAAAGCGUGGGGAUCAAACAGG
rnacentral:rRNA from 1 species